CAAUAUUAAGAACAUGAAAUAAGACAAUUUUUGGAGAGGAGUAUUUUUCAAUUAUGAAAGAAUUCUAAAUAUGACCAUAUAUCAAACAAUGUGAAAACCUAAAUUUAUGGAUGAGUUUCUUAGAAAAUACUUGAGCAAUAAUUAUACAGUAUAUAUAACUGUCAAAAUUCAUUAAUAUAAACACAUAACACUUGUAUAUUUUAUUGCAUAUUAAUUAUAACAAUUUUAAAACAUAUAUAUUACAAAUUUAUUAUCCUUCAGUGAUUUUCCUCUACAUAAAGCACUAGGAUUAUAUACUAUGCAGAAAAAAAUCUAUUAAACUUUCAAAGGACAGGACAGAUGAUAAUAACCAUGAGCCUAAAAACCUAUAGAAAAUUUCUCAAUGUAAACCUGAGACAAAAAAUGGCAAGUGAGUAUAAUAAAAUAAGAGUAUAUAGGAGUUCCUAUUGUGACUCAGCAGGUUAAGGAUCCAAGUAGUAUCCAUGAGGAUGUGGGUUUGAUCCUUGGCCUUGUUCAGCGUGUUAGAGGAGCCAGCAUUGCUGUGAGCUGUGGUAUAGGUUGCAGACGCAGUUUGGAUCUGUCAUUGCUGUGGUUGUGGUGUAGGCCAGCAGCUGCAGCUCUGAUUCAACCCAUAGCUUAGGAACUUCCAUGUGCCACAGGUGCAGCCCUAAAAAUGCAAAAAAAAAAAAAAGUAUAUGGAGUAGUUGCAUUUAUAAACUUACCUUUAAAUUUAUAAUUAUUAGAAAAUCAAAUCCUAGAUUAUAUCAAAAGAACAAUACAUUAUCACCUCAGAAAUACAUAGUGGUUCAACAUUAGGUGAUUUUUAAGAUAAAUUUACUACAUUAACAGAUUAAGAAGAAAGGGAAAAUGAGCUUCUUCUUUUUUUUUUUGUCUUUUUGCCAUUUCUUGGGCCACACCCUCGGCAUAUGGAGGUUCCCAGGCUAGGGCUCNAAAAAAAAAAAAAAAAAAAAAAAAAAAAAUCGCAAAUGGGAAAAAAUCCAACAAAUUUGACUAUAUCAAAACAAAGGUGAAAUAACUAGUGACAGAAUGGGAGAAAAUAUUUGCAUAAUGCAUAUCAACUAAUAAAUAAUAUCCAGAAUAUAUACUGGACUACAGUGAAGAGACAAAAGAGAGAAGCCGCCCAAUGGGAAAAUGGGCAAAGGCUACGAAGAGACACUUUCUAGAGAAGGAUAUAAAGUUGGGCCUAAAACUUUAAGGGAGGAGAACUGUAAUCUUUUAUCAGAGUUAUUGUGGUGAAAAGAGAAUUCCAAGAGGAAUAGGCAACCCCCACCCCCUUGAUAGCUCCCCCCCC
rnacentral:lncRNA from 1 species